GAGAGGUGCUUGCACCUCUUGAGAGCGGCGGACGGGUGAGUAAUGCCUAGGAAUCUGCCUGGUAGUGGGGGAUAACGCUCGGAAACGGACGCUAAUACCGCAUACGUCCUACGGGAGAAAGCAGGGGACCUUCGGGCCUUGCGCUAUCAGAUGAGCCUAGGUCGGAUUAGCUAGUUGGUGAGGUAAUGGCUCACCAAGGCGACGAUCCGUAACUGGUCUGAGAGGAUGAUCAGUCACACUGGAACUGAGACACGGUCCAGACUCCUACGGGAGGCAGCAGUGGGGAAUAUUGGACAAUGGGCGAAAGCCUGAUCCAGCCAUGCCGCGUGUGUGAAGAAGGUCUUCGGAUUGUAAAGCACUUUAAGUUGGGAGGAAGGGCAUUAACCUAAUACGUUAGUGUUUUGACGUUACCGACAGAAUAAGCACCGGCUAACUCUGUGCCAGCAGCCGCGGUAAUACAGAGGGUGCAAGCGUUAAUCGGAAUUACUGGGCGUAAAGCGCGCGUAGGUGGUUCGUUAAGUUGGAUGUGAAAG
rnacentral:rRNA from 2 species